rnacentral:lncRNA from 1 species
AAGUAUUGGCACCCUUUAAAAUAAUUCAUUCCCGAACAGGCCAUUCUACCCAAAAAUCUAGGGUUUAUAGACAUAAUUUCACUCACCAGAUAAAUUGUGUGGAACAUUCUCGAAUUUCACCGAGUCAUCCCCAACAAUGUACCUAGAUUUUCGAUUCCGCCAUUGAAAUAAUAUAUAUAUAUAUAUAUAUAUAUAUAUAUAUAUAUAUAUAUAUAUAUAU